UGAAAACUCUUAAAUGUCAAAGUUUGACCCAAACAUUCAUAGAAUAAUCGCAGCAGCAGCAGCGUUAAACUGCCUUAUGACUGGAGAAAAUAUUCAGGAGAACUCAGGGGUCCCAACCUUUUGUUGAGUCUGCAGCUGAUCUCGAGAUUGCAACAGAGAUACAAUGCGCCCGCCGCUGCCUCCACACACGCAGACAGACUGCAGAUUGAACCGAACUCUUUCAGGAGAGUAUCUCUGGCCUCAUCAGCAGCAUGACGUCCAUUUAUGAGGUGAGCAGCAGCCAUUAAGACUCUGGCAGCAGCACCACCAGCAGCAGCAGCAGCAGCGGUGGCAGUUUUAAGAAACAAUGCUCCGUCCUUCAGCUUCGAUCCAACUAUAACACACAUCUCAGCAGGCUUUCGAUUGGACACCCAAUCACCUACAUCACAUAUAUAUGGUAUAAAGGCACGACAGAACUCCUGCGACUCCAGCAGGCUUGGACUACGAACAACCGGCUGUCUGCAAGUUUUGUUAUUUGUUUCGAAGCAUUUUCCUGAGCAUUUUCCGAGUAGAUGAUGGCGAAAUUUUCAGCUGUGGGUGAAAUUAUACUUUAAGCACACCUCCAAAUGGGAACAUUACUCGAGUGCCUCGUACUUUACUUCUCUAACAUUACAUUCUACUGCAGUUAGUUCACAGUGAGCGGCUUCUGGCUACUUUUUCUGAUUCCGAUGUUACACACACGCCAUGUAAUGACCUGAUAAAACAUGGUGCAUGUUUAGUCAGCAGCAGCCCCAACAACAGACUCUUACCUCUGCUGCCUGAAGGCUAAACAGAGACGAUAAGGGGUUUGUUCACUCCAGUGAUCCAGUGAUUACGGAAGAUUUCACCUGAUGUCAUAUAAUUAUGAAUUAGUUACAUUGUCCCAUUUUCAUGGAGCUCAUUAUUGGCUACAUUGUCUCACUGUUUCUCUGUUUGAUUUUUCACAUACCCUCUUUAUUGUAUUGUUUAUUUGUUUGACGUAUAUGUAUAGUUAUGUAUCUUUUAGUAUUCACAUAUUUGUCCAUUUGUAGAUUCACUUUCUAUUUUACAGCUUUAUUUUAUCUCUGUUCCAUUUAUUUAAUCUAUUUUUAAAGAUU